UAUAGUGAUCAAUUAAACUGAUCUCCUAGUAAAAAAGCUAGAAUUACAACAUAAGACCAGAAGACCCUGUGAAGCUUAAAUAAAACUAUUAAACCAUAUAAUAGCUACUUUCGGUUGGGGCGACCUUGGAAAAAAAAAGAACUUCCAAAUAAAAUGAAUAUACCUCAUUAUCUAAACAGGCUAACAAGCCAAAAAUGACCCAGCACAGCUGAUAAUUGAACCAAGUUACUCCAGGGAUAACAGCGCAAUCUUCUUCAAGAGCCCAUAUCAAAAAGAAGGUUUACGACCUCGAUGUUGGAUCAGGACAUCCUAAUGGUGCAGCCGCUAUUAAGGGUUCGUUUGUUCAACGAUUAAUA
rnacentral:rRNA from 1 species